GUUUGAUCAUGGCUCAGGAUGAACGCUAGCGGCAGGCUUAAUACAUGCAAGUCGUGGGGCAGCAUGAGUGUAGCAAUACAUUUGAUGGCGACCGGCAAACGGGUGCGGAACACGUACAGAACCUUCCUUUAAGUGGGGAAUAGCCCAGGGAAACUUGGAUUAAUACCCCGUAAUAUAAUGAAGUGGCAUCACUUUAUUAUUAUAGCAGCAAUGCGCUUGAAGAUGGCUGUGCGGCUGAUUAGGUAGUUGGCGGGGUAAUGGCCCACCAAGCCUACGAUCAGUAACUGGUGUGAGAGCACGACCAGUCACACGGGCACUGAGACACGGGCCCGACUCCUACGGGAGGCAGCAGUAAGGAAUAUUGGGCAAUGGACGCAAGUCUGACCCAGCCAUGCCGCGUGGAGGAUGAAGGUCCUCUGGAUUGUAAACUUCUUUUAUCUGGGAAGAAAUCUAUUUUUUCUAAAGUAGUUGACGGUACCAGAUGAAUAAGCACCGGCUAACUCCGUGCCAGCAGCCGCGGUAAUACGAAGGGUGCAAGCGUUACUCGGAAUUACUGGGCGUAAAGCGUGCGUAGGUGGUUGUUU
rnacentral:rRNA from 1 species